AUGGAGAUGAGUGCUGGCGCGGCAGUAGGAGAAGCUGUGGCGGCGGCGGAUCUGGUGACCGCCGGGUCGGCUCGUCAUUCGUGGCCGGCCGGAGUCACGCUUGGAGCAGUUGGUUCUGGUCCAUCUACUACUCGUGACUGGGAUGGAAGGAUCAUGUCGUUGAUAGUUCAGCAUUACAAGCAACAACCACUGAGCCAUGAGAGUCUUUCUAGAUGGUACUCUAUCUACAUACUCUUACAAGAAACAACCAACGAGUUAUGCAUUCAAAAUGACUUUACCGAAUAUGUAAGAUUGUCCAGGAAUUCUGCUGUCAGGACAUUGGAUUUUCUAAAAAGAAAAGCCACACAUGAAGAAAAUAAUGCGGCUGAGUCAAGUGAUUGUAUGAUUGUCACCACUGGAGUUACUGGCAAUCCACUACUCACCCCAGUGUCCGGAAAAGCUGUUAAGAAUUCUAAAUCAAAGACUAAGAACAAUAAAGCUGGGCCUUAG
rnacentral:rRNA from 1 species